rnacentral:lncRNA from 1 species
ACAUUUUCAUCAUUCACACAAUUCAAUCAAAUUUCAUGGGUUUAACAACAACAUUUUCAUCAUUCACACAAUUCAAUCAAAUUUCAUGGGUUUAAAAACAACAUUUUCAUCAUUCACACAAUUCUAUCUAAUUUCAUGGGUUUAACAACAACAUUUUCAUCAUUCACACAAUUCUAUCUAAUUUCAUGGGUUUAACAACAACAUUUUCAUCAUUCACACAAUUCAAUCUAAUUUCAUGGGUUUAACAACAACAUUUUCAUCAUUCACACAAUUCUAUCUAAUUUCAUGGGUUUAACAACAACAUUUUCAUCAUUCACACAAUUCUAUCUAAUUUCAUGGGUUUAACAACAACAUUUUCAUCAUUCACACAAUUCAAACAAAUUUCAUGGGAUUAAAACAAGAUUUACAUCAUUCCCACAAUUCAAUUAAAUUUCAUGGGUUAACACCAACAUUUUUAUGAUUAUCAAUAUUCAAUCAAAUUUCAUGGGUUUAACAACAACAUUUUCAUCAUUUCUAUAAUUUAAUCAAAUUUCAUGGGUUUAAUAAUAAUAUUUU